UUUUUUUUUGUUUCAGACUCUCCGAUUUUAGCUGUUUCCUAGGAUUGCUCAUAAACAGAAGAAAUGGAACUGAGGUCUCAGGAGCAGCAAACAAUUGUGGAAAAUCAUGAGGCAAUUUAAAUAUACAGCCAAAGUUGAGGAGAAAUGAACCCUGGUCCAUCUGGAUGAGGUGUGGAGCCUUGGUUUACUGGGUGUUCACUGACGCUCAUCUUCCCAACCAGUGGUAAUUACUGAACUCUUCCCUUCACACUGACAGCAGAAACAGUCAAAGAGGUCUGAAAAGACAGGGACAUCCUGGUUCUGACUUUGCAAAGCUGUGUCGUUGCCUCCAGUGGAUGCCUUUAGAGCACCAGAUCUGACUUCCUCCUCAAACCAAGGAGUCCUAAAAACAUCCAAGCAGAGGAGGCAUAUUUUCCCCAUGAGAAACGACCAGAGAGAACCAAAUGAAAACGGACAUUUCGCCUGAGUGACUGUUUGUAUCUCACCUUGGCUGUGUGCCUAAUUCAACAGGCACUUAGGUGGCUGAAGAGGGAAAUUUUUGUUACCGUGAAUCCAGCCCUGGGUUGGACAGAGAGCCUUUUGACAGCAGGCCGAGUUCCUUGUGCUCGCUGACAAAAUUACCACAUUUCUCUUCCAGUUGUUGUAGGGGUUUGAAAAAUCCCUCAUUUCCUGGCAAAAGUUUUCUUUCUCCAGGAGAUAAGGGCAAAGCAUCUUCCGUCUACACCAUAGAACUCUUCUAUCAUCUCAGAAACCGUUCUCCACCAGGCAGGGUUGCUUGAACACUCACUCUAGCUCUCCACGGCCUCUUGACAGCUGGCUGAUGACCAAAGAGUCUCAGGGAAGUACUCCCUUCUCUGAUUGUCCGUGUUGGUGGGAGUCUGCGGGCUGUCAUCAGAAAGUUCAUCUCACAUGUAUGACUAUGGGGGCUGUGCGUGUUCAAAUAUGUAUGUAUGAGGUGUGGGCAGAGUGCCUAGUUUGAAGCUUUCAUGCAGUCUCAAGAACUGUGGCUGAGAAGGCCAGAACAGAAUGAAGGUAACACUUACUCUUUUGUUGCUCCCGCGGAAGUGCCAUGAGAUCUUUGGUGAUGGGGAGUCUGGUGUAGGGAUGUAGACACACCUCUGUGUUAUUCAGAAGUGGACAACCCAACCUACAACUGGUGGCAAAAUGAAUCAACACAAUCUUUCUUGGUGACGUUUUAGCAAAGUAAGUUGAGAGCUUUAAAAUGCCGUGUCUGUACUUUGGAAUUUUUUUUUUUAAGUUUAAACAACACAGAAUAUAGCAUAGACACCGUGGAUUUAAAAUAUGAUGUCCUGAUUAGUUUGGGUCAACCUGACACUCAUCAGAGUUAUCUGGGAAGAGCAAACCUCAGUUGAGAGAAAAUGCCCACAGCAGAUUAGUCUGUAGGACAUUUUCUUGAGUGAUGAUUCAUGUAGGAGGGCCCAUCUCCUUAUGGGCACUGCCACUCUGCCCAGACAGGUGGGCCCGGGUCUUAUAAGAAACCAGUCUGGGCAAGCCUUGGGGAGUAAGCCUUAAGCAGUGUUGUUUUAAGGCUGCUGUUUCAGUUUCUACCUCCAGGUUCCUGCUGCUAGUAAAGGUUCAGCUAUAGUUACAGUAGAAGCCCCAGGAUUGACCGGACUUGAGGAGAAGUUGAGAAGUGUUAGAGUCAGUGAACGGAGUUCAGUAGAGUCUACGUGUGAAGGCACAGUCCAGUACAGCAGAGACCCCUGCAUUUUGGAGAUGGCAGUAACAUGAGACAAUGCUGAAGCCAGCAGCAGGUAUGGAGGGUGGCUGGCCUGAGCCUGUGAGAGAAGAAGCUGUGUGUGCUGUUUGGGGCAGAGCCAGGGAGCUGGGUCAGCAGAUUUGAGGCCCAGAAGUCUAUCACUGAGGUUGGCCUUGGCUUUGCUCUGCUUCGAAUGUAACUCUGCCUUGGUGUUUUCCUCUUGAAAUGAUAGAGUAUAUAACUUACCUUUGAAUUUUGCCUGAGCCAAGUUUGAGAGAUGUUGACCUGUGAAAUAAAGUUUGGAUCUUUAUUUUUUAAAAAAUGAACUUUUAAAGUGUUUGAAGUUUUAAAGACUGGGUGACUAUUAGAAGUUGGAAAGCUCUUUACAUUGUGAUACUGAUAUUAAUAUGAGAUCUUUGGGGGAUAAAAAGAAAGGAAAUGCAACAUUAGUAGUAUGUUUAAGUGUCAAGUUGACACAGGGUAAACUGCCCUAGGUAACUUUUUGCUAACUUGACAUUGGCUGGAGUCAUUUGAGAAAAAUGAAUGUCAACUGAAAGAAUGUGCCCAGUAAUUCAGCCUGUGGGUCAUUUUAUUGAUUAAUGUUUGAUGUGGGCUUGAUGUCGGAGGACACCUCAUUAUGUGUUGUGGCAUGCCUGGGCAGGUGGCACACUGAGCAAGGUGUAAGGAGCAGACCAGUAAGCGAUGUUCCUCCAUAGCUUCUGGUUCAGGCUGUCUCCAGUUUCUACCUUGAAUUUCUUCCCUAACUUCCCUCAGUGAUAGAUAGGGCCUGUAAGCUGUAAAUAGUUCUCUCCUUCCUGAAUUGCUUUAGUAACGGUGUUUUAUUACAGCAAUGGAAACCACAACUAAGAUACAAGCUAAAGAGACCAGAGAGGACAGAGGACUCAGAGGCUUCACAAAGCUUUCUAAACCUUCCUACCAAGGUUAUCAUUAAUUUUUUUUUAAAUAAACCCUAACCCAAGGCCCAAUUUGGGACAAUGGAUUGCACUGCAAUGCCACCCUUUCUUUGUUUAUAUUUAGGAUGUUGAGUUCAUAUGUGCUAUAUUACAUGGUUGGCAUUUUGGGAUGGAGUAGAGUCAAACCAUUUUAGUUUUAGCGUUGGGAGAGCAGAAGAGUUACACUCAAUCUGCUGCCUUCCACAAGGUGGAUCUUUCUGGCUUCUUUGACAAAAAGUUGUUUUUACAUUUAUCUACAAAGUGGGCACCAGGCUGUUCACCUUGUAGAUUACCUGUCCUUCUGAAUUCACAAUAGUUGACAUGACAUAGGCAAGUGGUCUUAUUCUGGGACUGUAUCUGGCCUGUGUGAAUAGACAGAAGCGCUCUUGUUUUUAACUUUAGUCUCUCUGUGCGUCUGACUGUUAACAUGCGUGGCUGAAUUAGAAACUACUUAAUGAAAAACUGCAAGGAAAAUAAAGCGACAAAAAAUGUUUUACAAUACAGUGGCACAGGGUUUCUUUAAUAGGAUAUUCUUCUGCACCCGGUGCAAAACCUUGUAAAAAUUCAAUAAAUAAUUGUUGGCUGAAUUAAUAAAUGCAUAAUGCUCUUGGAACACUUUGCUAAUGGUAUAGAAUUAUAUAUAGUUAGAAUUGGUGGUUAUAUUUAAAUAAUUCAUGUGGAUAUUUCCUUAAAUGGUAGGAUAAAAAUGUGAGCUGUUGAAGCAUAAGAACAGAUUUAUUAUCUUUUAAACUCUUUCUUUUCCCAACAAGUAAAUCUCAUGUUGCAAAUAUGAACUAUGAAAACAUCAUAUAAUAUCUACCUGGUCUCACAACCUCCUUAGAAUUCAGACAGUGAACAUUUAUAAUCCUAAGUAGGGACUAUUUAAGGUAAUGAGUUCUGAAUAAUAUUUAUUAACUAUAUUUUA
rnacentral:sRNA from 1 species